rnacentral:lncRNA from 1 species
GAUAAUGAGAUUUUCAAAGUUGGGUGAGAGAGAGUCAGAAUGGCUCCAAAAUCCUUUGUUCAGUAUUUGGAAAAUCAUUAUAAAUCGUACAAAAAUUAUUAUAAGAUAAAAUUUUAUGCUUAGACUCGUUAAUGAGUCUAGUUUCAAACAAAAUAAACGAAAACAUAUUUUGAAUUCUGUACAAUGAGAAAUUAAAUUCUUAGUGAAGAGUAGUCAGAGUAGUCAAGCAGUAAAAUAGGGGAAACUUUAAGAAAAAUC